AGCCUUAGCGUGAUGGCAUAAAAGUAGCGUAAGUGAUUUGUUUUUUUAAUGGUUUCAAGUAUGAAUGAAGUUUUUAGCAGCUUUUUUAUUUACUUUUUGUUUGAAUUAUUUUUUUAAUUAAAAAUUAUUAGUUAAGGUAUUACAAAGAUAAGUCUUCGGAAAUUUUGUUUUGAAUUUUGAAAUUUUUAUUUUUAAUUUUUUCUUGGGGAUGGAUUUUAAGAAAGUUUUAUACUAUUGUUAUUAUUAAAAAUUACUCCGGAGUUAACAGGGUUGUAGACAUAUAAAUAGGUUUUUAUAUUAGUGUGCUGCGCUACAUCGAUGUUGUAUAUUUUUUUUGAUAAUGGAGAGGUUUUUUUUGUUUUGAGACUGUUCUUCUUGUAUAAAAAAUUGACUUGAUAUUAGUUUAGUUCGUCGUGAGACAGAGCGGUUUAUCUUGUGUAAUUUUGGUGCUUGGCGGUGUUAGUACGAAAGGAAUGCAAUGUGGGU
rnacentral:rRNA from 1 species